rnacentral:rRNA from 1 species
AUGGGUGGCCUAUCCAUGGAGCACCCUUGGGCAUUCGCCUUCGGCCUACUAGGCAACGUAAUCUCUUUCUCGAGCCUCCUGGCCCCGAUACCAACAUUCUACCGGAUCUUCAAGAGCAAAUCCACGGAGGGGUUCCAGUCGGUGCCCUACGUCGUGGCCCUGUUCAGCGCGAUGCUGUGGAUCUUCUACGCACUGGUCAAGACCGGUGAGGGCCUCCUCAUCAGCAUCAACGCUGCCGGCUGCGUCAUCGAGACCGUCUACAUCGUCAUGUACCUUGUCUACGCCCCCAGGAAGGCCAAGAUUUUCACAGCCAAGAUCGUCGUCCUCCUCAACAUCGCUGGCUUCGGGCUCAUCUUCCUCCUCACCCUCUUCGCCUUCCAUGGCGAGACACGUGUCGUCUCGCUCGGCUGGAUCUGCGUCGGCUUCUCCGUCUGCGUCUUCGUUGCCCCACUCAGCAUCAUCGGACGAGUCAUCAAGACCAAGAGUGUGGAGUACAUGCCCUUCACGCUCUCCCUCACGCUCACCCUCAGCGCAAUCGUCUGGUUCCUCUACGGCCUGCUCAUCAAGGACAAAUACGUCGCGCUCCCAAACGUCCUUGGCUUCACCUUCGGGGUGAUCCAGAUGGUCCUCUACGUGUUCUACAUGAACAAGACGCCGGUGGCAAGCGAGGUCAAGGAGGGGAAAGAGGCAUGGAAGGCGCCCGCAGAGGACCACGUCGUCGUGAUCAACGUCGGCAAGGCCGACAAGAGCUCGUGCGCUGAGGUGCGCCCGGUCACCGAGAUGGCCAGCGCCGUGGACGUCCCCAGGAGAUGCGCUGCUGAGGCGGCGUCGCCGGGGCAGCAAGUGAUGGCGGUGGACUUUGCCCGUUCUGUCGAGGUGGUCUAG